GCGCGAAAACUUUACAAUGCGGGAAACCGCGAUAAGGGGACACCGAGUGCCAGCAUCCUAUGUUGGCUGUCCAUAUGUAUAAAUCACAUGUGUUAGCAAGGGCCGGGCAAGACCGGUGCCAGCCGCCGCGGUAACACCGGCGGCCCGAGUGGUGGCCACUAUUAUUGGGUCUAAAGGGUCCGUAGCCGGUUUGGUCAGUCUUCCGGGAAAUCUGACGGCUCAACCGUUAGGCUUUCGGGGGAUACUACCAGGCUUGGGACCGGGAGAGGUAAGAGGUACUACGGGGGUAGGAGUGAAAUCUUGUAAUCCCUGUGGGACCACCAGUGGCGAAGGCGUCUUACCAGAACGGGUCCGACGGUGAGGGACGAAAGCUGGGGGCACGAACCGG
rnacentral:rRNA from 2 species